UACUCCUACGGGAGGCAGCAGUGGGGAAUUUUGGACAAUGGGCGCAAGCCUGAUCCAGCCAUGCCGCGUGCGGGAAGAAGGCCUUCGGGUUGUAAACCGCUUUUGUCAGGGAAGAAAUCCUUUGGGUUAAUACCUCGGAGGGAUGACGGUACCUGAAGAAUAAGCACCGGCUAACUACGUGCCAGCAGCCGCGGUAAUACGUAGGGUGCGAGCGUUAAUCGGAAUUACUGGGCGUAAAGCGUGCGCAGGCGGUCUUGCAAGACAGGUGUGAAAUCCCCGGGCUUAACCUGGGAACUGCACUUGUGACUGUAUAGCUAGAGUACGGUAGAGGGGGAUGGAAUUCCGCGUGUAGCAGUGAAAUGCGUAGAUAUGCGGAGGAACACCGAUGGCGAAGGCAAUCCCCUGGACCUGUACUGACGCUCAUGCACGAAAGCGUGGGGAGCAAACAGGAUUAGAUACCCUGGUAGUCCACGCCCUAAACGAUGUCAACUGGUUGUUGGGUCUUCACUGACUCAGUAACGAAGCUAACGCGUGAAGUUGACCGCCUGGGGAGUACGGCCGCAAGGUUGAAACUCAAAUGAAUUGACGG
rnacentral:rRNA from 1 species